GAUGAACGCUGGCGGCGUGCCUAAUACAUGCAAGUCGAGCGAACGGACGAGAAGCUUGCUUCUCUGAUGUUAGCGGCGGACGGGUGAGUAACACGUGGAUAACCUACCUAUAAGACUGGGAUAACUUCGGGAAACCGGAGCUAAUACCGGAUAAUAUUUUGAACCGCAUGGUUCAAAAGUGAAAGACGGUCUUGCUGUCACUUAUAGAUGGAUCCGCGCUGCAUUAGCUAGUUGGUAAGGUAACGGCUUACCAAGGCAACGAUGCAUAGCCGACCUGAGAGGGUGAUCGGCCACACUGGAACUGAGACACGGUCCAGACUCCUACGGGAGGCAGCAGUAGGGAAUCUUCCGCAAUGGGCGAAAGCCUGACGGAGCAACGCCGCGUGAGUGAUGAAGGUCUUCGGAUCGUAAAACUCUGUUAUUAGGGAAGAACAUAUGUGUAAGUAACUGUGCACAUCUUGACGGUACCUAAUCAGAAAGCCACGGCUAACUACGUGCCAGCAGCCGCGGUAAUACGUANGUGGCAAGCGUUAUCCGGAAUUAUUGGGCGUNAAGCGCGCGUAGGCGGUUUUUUAAGUCUGAUGUGAAAGCCCACGGCUCAACCGUGGAGGGUCAUUGGAAACUGGAAAACUUGAGUGCAGAAGAGGAAAGUGGAAUUCCAUGUGUAGCGGUGAAAUGCGCAGAGAUAUGGAGGAACACCAGUGGCGAAGGCGACUUUCUGGUCUGUAACUGACGCUGAUGUGCGAAAGCGUGGGGAUCAAACAGGAUUAGAUACCCUGGUAGUCCACGCCGUAGACGAUGAGUGCUAAGUGUUAGGGGGUUUCCGCCCCUUAGUGCUGCAGCUAACGCAUUAAGCACUCCGCCUGGGGAGUACGACCGCAAGGUUGAAACUCAAAGGAAUUGACGGGGACCCGCACAAGCGGUGGAGCAUGUGGUUUAAUUCGAAGCAACGCGAAGAACCUUACCAAAUCUUGACAUCCUUUGACAACUCUAGAGAUAGAGCCUUCCCCUUCGGGGGACAAAGUGACAGGUGGUGCAUGGUUGUCGUCAGCUCGUGUCGUGAGAUGUUGGGUUAAGUCCCGCAACGAGCGCAACCCUUAAGCUUAGUUGCCAUCAUUAAGUUGGGCACUCUAAGUUGACUGCCGGUGACAAACCGGAGGAAGGUGGGGAUGACGUCAAAUCAUCAUGCCCCUUAUGAUUUGGGCUACACACGUGCUACAAUGGACAAUACAAAGGGCAGCGAAACCGCGAGGUCAAGCAAAUCCCAUAAAGUUGUUCUCAGUUCGGAUUGUAGUCUGCAACUCGACUACAUGAAGCUGGAAUCGCUAGUAAUCGUAGAUCAGCAUGCUACGGUGAAUACGUUCCCGGGUCU
rnacentral:rRNA from 1 species